UACGUAGGGGGCAAGCGUUGUCCGGAUUUAUUGGGCGUAAAGCGCUCGCAGGUGGUUCAUUGCGUCGUGCGUGAAAGACCCCGGCUCAACUGGGGAGGGUCGUGCGAAACGGGUGAACUAGAGGCCAGUAGGGGGAUGCGGAAUUCCGGCUGUAGUGGUGGAAUGCGUAGAGAUCCGGAGGAACACCGGUGGCGAAGGCGGCAUCCUGGACCAAUAUUGACGCUGAGGAGCGAAAGCCAGGGGAGCAAACGGG
rnacentral:rRNA from 1 species